GCCUGGAGGGCUUGUUCAGGCACUGGAACAGCUGAUAAAAAUAUCCAUCAGCACCGUGACCCCAGGCACGGGGCGGCUGCGGGGAGGCACACCGCUCACCAAACAGGGGCCGAGAGGAACAGGCACGACCAUGGCCCGACGAUGGCUCUGGCACCUGGAGGCAGCAGAGCUGCUUUGUUAGAGGCAGGAGCGUGUGGGAGAAACGCGGUUCCAGCCUGCAGGAAAGGCUCGCGGGGGGAAAGAAUUCUUCGCCUGGAGACGCCUGGUAGACACUCGGCGGAUAUCUUCUGCAGCCAAUAAUGUGACUUUUUGAGAGUCUCUAAAAACUGCAGAUAAGAGCUGGUCAUGGCGGAAAGCUCUGGACACUGUCAGGGUGAUGAGUGAGCAGACUCUGCUCCGCUAAUGACGAGUUAAUUGCUGCUCUCAGGCGCGGGGAUCUGUAGGCACCGGAGAGCAGCGUGGCUGUGCUCACAUUAGACAUCAAUGAACAACGUGUUUAUUUGGACAUCUGAAAGGGGUGACUCAUGCCGAGCAGCCCCAGUCAGCUGGUGGGAGAGCUGGCAGCGUGGAGCAGUGGCCAUCAGAGGAGAAAAGAGACCUUGGUGGCAUCUCCUGGUCUGUGGGACAAUGCCAGCUAGUGAGGACCUCGGAAAGGUGAAGACCUCCAGGCCGGGCUGCUCCAUCCUGCUGGGCAGGUGUGAUCAGAUGAGAUGCUCAGUAAUUCUUUGAACAUAUCAGACGGGUUUGUGUAUCCCUGUGUCCGAGUUGCUCUGUGGAUUCUCCCCAGAAGAAAACAGGCACCUCUGGAGCAUGUUGCACACUGGCCUGAGGUCACGUCUAAAGGCAGCCUGGCAGAUGCGCGCUGGAAC